UACGUAGGGGGCUAGCGUUGUCCGGAUUUAUUGGGCGUAAAGAGCGUGUAGGCGGCCAGGUAGGUCUGCUGUGAAAACUCGAGGCUCAACCUCGAGAUGUCGGCGGAAACCAUCUGGCUAGAGUCCGGAAGAGGAGAGUGGAAUUCCUGGUGUAGCGGUGAAAUGCGCAGAUAUCGGGAGGAACACCUGUGGCGAAAGCGGCGCACUGGACCACAACUGACGCUGAGGCGCGAAAGCUAGGGGAGCAAACAGG
rnacentral:rRNA from 1 species